rnacentral:rRNA from 1 species
AGCGAACGCUGGCGGCAGGCCUAACACAUGCAAGUCGAACGAACCUUUCGGGGUUAGUGGCGGACGGGUGAGUAACACGUGGGAACGUGCCUUUAGGUUCGGAAUAACUCAGGGAAACUUGUGCUAAUACCGAAUGUGCUCUUCGGGGGAAAGAUUAAUCGCCUUUAGAGCGGCCCGCGUCUGAUUAGCUAGUUGGUUGGGGUAAUGGCUCACCAAGGCGACGAUCAGUAGCUGGUCUGAGAGGAUGAUCAGCCACAUUGGGACUGAGACACGGCCCAAACUCCUACGGGAGGGAGCAGUGGGGAAUCUUGCGCAAUGGGCGAAAGCCUGACGCAGCCAUGCCGCGUGAAUGAUGAAGGUCUUAGGAUUGUAAAAUUCUUUCACCGGGGGCGAUAAUGACGGUACCCGGAGAAGAAGCCCCGGCUAACUUCGUG